AGAUAAUCAUACAAAGAACUAGCCCUUUCCAACUCACUGUAAAUCCUCAAUCCAUGUUAGCUUUUUGUAACAUUAAUAACAUAGCAAUAAUAAUUUGUAGCUUGAAUAAUAGUAAGUUGCCUAAAGAGAUGUAGCUAAGGAAGUCUGAGUUAGCCUUUGGACUCUGAACUGCCUCUGCAUUUAGCACACUGAUAUGCAGAGCAAGCUGUAUCCACACUGAUCUCAGUGUGCUGCAGUUUCAAAAGCUGUUCAGCUGGGAUCAAGGAAAGCAAUGACCGCCUACUCCCCAAAUCCUUUCUAUUUCGAAAUUCCCAGGUCAAUGAUGACCAUUGCCAGAGGGUCUCAGGAAGGUGGAAUCCACAUGGAGAGUUGGAAAAGGGAGGCCGAGGUGGGCAGAUCACCUGAAGUCAGGAGUUCAAGACCAGCCUGGCCACCAUGGCGAAACCUCGUCUCUACUAAAAAAUACAAAAAUUAGCUGGGUGUUGCAGUGGGUACCUGUAAUUCCAGCUACUUAGGAGGCUGAGGCAGGGAGAACUGCUUGAACCCAGAAAGCGGAGGUUGCAGUGAGCUGUGAUUGUGCCACUACACUCCAGCCUGCAACCCUGUCACAAAAAAAAAAAAAAAAAGAAAGAAAGAAAAAAAGAAAAAUGAGUGGGAACUGAGGAAGUCUAAAUAAAAUUCUAAACAGCAAGUAUAAACCUUUGUUUUUUCAAUGAAGAGGAAUCACUAGAGUGGACACAGGAGGAUGGUGGAAAUUGAAGACAGGUAAGAAUAGAACACAUUUAUUGACGGAGAGGAGGGAGCUAGCAGAAAGUAUGGUUAACAGAGAGAGAAAAUAAGUGAAGACCCCAGUCCUUAAGGAAGGACUGUGAGGAUGGGGCAAGAGGAGGGAAGGAAAAGCGUCACCUCUUCCACUGAGGGCUAGAAAGGAGGUGGAGACAAGUGCAUAGGCAUUUGCAUGUCUGAGCAGGGCUUUGAAGAGGGUAAAUGUCUAAAAGCCUCUAGCAUCUCAGAAAAGUUGAAGAUGAGGUUAUAUGCUACACUGGAGAGGAGUAGAGACAAGACUGGAAAAUUUGAGUGCAUGGCUUCAGGUCUGAAAUAAACAUUGGAAGGCGACAGAGAGGAAGUUGAACCAGUCUGUGUAGAAGGAUGUGAGCACUGGGAUUUCAAAGACGAGGUUUGUAGAGGCCCCAGUCUGCAUCUUUAUAUGAUUUCCUCCAGCAUUUUUGUAACAUUACAUUGCAUUUUGUAACAUUGCUGAGCCCCUCUUUGAGUAAUUGGCAGAAAAGGCUGAGUCCUCAUAGAAUUGUGUGCUAUUUCUAAAACAUAUCCAUGGUUUAAAAAGCUUUAAGAUCUAUAAACUAAAAUCCACCCAUUUUGCAGGAUGAUUCACAGUGUCGACAGUUUGGAUCAAUUUCCUGAAGAAAGGACAAAACUGGAAGCUAUUCUUUAUUCUUUCUUUCAGAGCAAGGCACUAUUACCAUGAGGACUAUGCUAAGAAUGUAUGAGAGAAAGCAAGAGAGAGCUGUCUCAGGAGAGAAGAGAAUUCCAACCAGUGAGAUGAGAAUUGCACAAAUCCUGCAGCCCAUCUCUGCCACAGCUCAAAAUUGUUGGGUAAGUAAUGACCCAGACCAUUGAAGAAAAUGAGGAAACUGUGCACACAGACUGAUGUCUUAUGUGACCAACAUGCAUAUAAGAAAUGGAAGCUUCCCCCUAUCUUUCCAGAGUUCAAAAAUCCUAUUGCUGAAUUCACCUCCAAUUCCAUGAAACAAUAUAAAAGAUCCUCCAUAAAGACCCCAGGUUAUAAUGUUUACAAUUUAUUUUGUACUCCUUUUCUCUGGUAAUUGAUGACUGCUAUUAUUAAUGAAGACAUUACAAGGAAUAAAAGGGCUUGCCUGCCACUUCUCACCACAAAACCGUGUGGCAUCAAACAGAAUGAAAUCCUUCUGACACUGACAGCUGGAGAAAACCUUGUCACCACAGUGACAGUGUCAAGUGUGGUGUGACAUCUCUGUGUGUGUUUCUUUUGCACCUAAUAACUUCGUUGCCAAUACAGACCAAAAUAAUGAAAGAAAACCUGCUUUUGCCAGCCCAAAGGAUUAACUGUACUGUUGAGAAAACUGCAGGAAUAUUUGACAUGAGAUCACAAUUUUUAAUUCUUUUCCCCCCAGGAUUCUGCAUGAAGUAUUUUUCUAUGAAGGAUUUAAAUAGAAUUACUUUUCCUCACAUUGGUCAUGGAGAGAAUUAAGACAUUAACUGUUGAUCCAAUUUAUACUGCCAUUUGAUCCCAUAAGUGCUAUACAGGACUCGGUUACUCAUGGAAAAUAGUUCCUGCCAGAUCAAACACUCUCAGGGCCAAAGUCACAAGAUUCUGACUUUACAUGCUCUGUUCUGCCUCCUUUCAUUUUGCCUCUUGGAUUGUCAUGAACUUCCUGAGCAAGAAGGCCAUCCACCAUGCAGUGUAAUGUCUUGCUAAGAGAAAUUAGUAUUCAGUCUGCUCAGGUUCCAGCAAGGACUUUCUUCAUGAAGAUCUUCAAGUGGAAUCAAGCAUAGCCCAUCUGGAUUCUUUACACUAAGGCAAGAGGCAAGCAGAAGACAAAGAGAGAAAGCAGAGGACCUCCGGGAAAGGAAGCCCCCUUUUCAGUCGGCCUAGGCAGAAGUAGAUUUACUCUGAGGAUUCACUCCAAGGGUGAAGUUUUAAGGGUGCUUCACUUGCUCUGGUUUCAUAAAUAAAUUUUGAUCUUCUUAAAUACAUUUGGAUUAAAUUUUCAUGUUUUUUUCUAAAAGAAAUUGUACAAACCUGAGGACCCAUGAACUUAGUUUCACCCCUCCUACUGGGGAAGCCUAGCAACUCCAAAUGGCCUUUGUCACCAUCUGAUUCUUAAAUUCUAAUUUCCACAUUGUUGUGUAAAAACAAGAAGCUAUAGAUAACAGUUGAGUUGUAAAGUUAUCUGGUGUACUUUAUUAUUAGCAGUGAUUGAUGUGGAUAAUGGACAAUCUGGAAAAUCCUGAAUACUUAACAAACAAUAUUAUUUAUAUCUAUCCAUUUUACUUUACAUGCAUAGAUGGAGGCUUUUAAAGAGUGUUACUUGUGAAACAUGUUUUUAAAAUUAUUUUGUCCUAUCUUAUGUUAUUAGACCCCUGAGAACUCAAGUUUAUAGAGAUUAGCAAUAUGAUUUUUAUAAAUAUUUUUAAGUACUUACCUCCCAGACCAUUGUAAAUGGGAUGGGCCAUAAUUACAAAUUUAUCAUUAAAAUAAAAAGAAUGUUAAGAAGCAUAUAAAAAUUACACAAUCCCAAUCUAUCUUUUCACAGAUUGACUGUCAAAUGCAUUCUGAUGGGAAAAUGAAUAGUAAAAAAAGACAUAAUAUACUGACAUUGAGCAUAUUUUAUAUUGAACAAGACUGUUUAAAAUUCUUCACAUAGCAUGUUCAGGCUGCAUUUUAAUUAAAUGCCAUGCAGAAGUGCUCAGCUUUUGAACCAUGUAAUAUUCCCAGG
rnacentral:lncRNA from 1 species